CACACACACACACAUUCAUACGGACUCUAUGCACACACUAACAUACAAUCAUCAUAUACGCUGCUGCUGCUACUCUGUUUAUUAUAUAUCCUGAUGCCUUGUCACAUUAUGCCCAUACAUAGCUAAUCCUACCACUCCAGUAUCCCUGAACAUUGUAAAUAUGGUAUUGGCAUUGACCCUGGAACUGACCGUUUAUAUAGUUUACAUACUUUCUUGUGUACUUCUUAUUUCUCGUGUGUUUUGUUCUGCUUGACUUUUUUGUAGUUCAUUUUAAUUUUUGUAUAGUACUACUGAUAUUGAAUACUGCAUUGUGGGGAAAAGAUCAAAUGAACUCGCCCACUGGAACGUCUUCCCCAGACAAGGCGCGUGGUUUGUGCUUGCCCUUGCUCGGGAAAUAGCUACCAUAGUGAAAAUGGGCUUUCAUAAAGUUGUUCAACAAUCUUGGGCAAAUUGCCAAGAUUUAUAUUACCUCCGACUAGUUUAUAUUUAGGCUGUCAACCGUCAAAAACCUGAGACUGGUGUGUUGUUGGAGGUGCCCCCCAUCCAUGGUGCCACAAUGGACAACUCCUGGGCAAGGGAGCUGGGUCGGAUCCGUAUGUCAGGCUCCUUCAUGACCGGUAUCUGUGACGAGGGGCCUGGAGCUGAUCUACUGACACUGGCAAACACCUCAAAAGAUGGAGGAUGAUAAGCUUUGGUCAUGGAGUCCUCUGACUGAAAGACAGGUUUAUACUGAUGUCUGAAUUGGGAAAUACCUUGUACUCCGCAUUAAAAUUA